AAUGGCAAGUCGAGGGGAGAACAAGCGCAGAGCAUUCUCAAUGGCCACAGCCCUCGAAGGAAAAACCACAACAUUCUUCACAAGAAAUGGCAACAGACAGACCACUUAGAGAUGCAGCCUUGUGUAUGCUUCACAUAAUAAAAAAAAGACCACAACACUCAUAGUGCCAAGUGUUCAUGACAUAGCGUUGGACACAAAUACGUCCAGACACGUGGCCAACACGCUAUUUUACACGUCACAGUUGGGAAAAAUUUUUAAACGAAAAUUACCUGAAUCAUUUAAAUUUAGAAAAAGAGAAAAAAAAAA